UACGAAGGGGGCUAGCGUUGUUCGGAAUUACUGGGCGUAAAGCGCGUGUAGGCGGGUCUUUAAGUCAGGGGUGAAAUGCCAAGGCUCAACCUUGGAACUGCCUUUGAUACUGGAGACCUUGAGUCCGGGAGAGGUGAGUGGAAUUCCCAGUGUAGCGGUGAAAUGCGUAGAUAUUGGGAGGAACACCAGUGGCGAAGGCGGCUCACUGGACCACAACUGACGCUGGAGGCGCGAAAGCUAGGGGAGCAAACAGG
rnacentral:rRNA from 1 species